GUGCUCACUUGGGCAACACAUAUGCUAACAUUGGAGCAAUACAGAGAAGAUUAGCAUGGCUUCUGAGCAAGGAUGACACAAAUUUGUGAUACGUUCCAUAUAUUU